AAACAUAGCCACUAAGACUUUAUUGUGUGGUUUAACCUGCCCAAUGUUGGAAAUGAAUGGCCGCGGUACCCUGACCGUGCUAAGGUAGCGUAAUCAGUUGACUUUUAAAUGAGGUCAGGAAUGAAUGGGAUAACCGGGUUUAGCUGUCUCUUAGCUACUGUGUUGAAUUUACUGUCUAAGUGAAAAAGCUUAGAUAAGGAAGGGGGACGAGAAGACCCUUAGAAUUUUUUUUAAAAAAUAUGACUGUGUUUUGUGAUUUUAUUGGGGCGAUAAAGAAAUAUUUACAACUUUCUUAAUUAUAUAAGCCGAUUGUAUUAUGAAGAGAUAAAUUACCUGAGGGAUAACAGCAUAAUUCUACAGGUGAGUUUGUGACCUCGAUGUUGGACUAGGAAACUAACAGGCUAGCCGUUUGUUAAGUUAGGUUCUGUUCGAACUUUUUAUUCCU
rnacentral:rRNA from 1 species